rnacentral:rRNA from 1 species
UUGGAGUUUGUUGCCUAGAGUGAUGGGCUCCGAAGCUAACGCGAUAAAUCGACCGCCUGGGGAGUACGGCCGCAAGGUUAAAACUCAAAUGAAUUGACGGGGGCCCGCACAAGCGGUGGAGCAUGUGGUUUAAUUCGAUGCAACGCGAAGAACCUUACCUGGUCUUGACAUCCACAGAAUCUUUCAGAGAUGAGGGAGUGCCUUCGGGAACUGUGAGACAGGUGCUGCAUGGCUGUCGUCAGCUCGUGUUGUGAAAUGUUGGGUUAAGUCCCGCAACGAGCGCAACCCUUAUCCUUUGUUGCCAGCGAUUAGGUCGGGAACUCAAAGGAGGCUGCCGUUGAUAAAACGGAGGAAGGUGGGGACGACGUCAAGUCAUCAUGGCCCUUACGACCAGGGCUACACACGUGCUACAAUGGCGUAUACAAAGGGAAGCGAAGGUGCGAGCUGGAGCGGACCUCCUAAAGUACGUCUAAGUCCGGAUUGGAGUCUGCAACUCGACUCCAUGAAGUCGGAAUCGCUAGUAAUCGUGAAUCAGAAUGUCACGGUGAAUACGUUCCCGGGCCU